rnacentral:rRNA from 1 species
GACGAACGCUGGCGGCGUGCUUAACACAUGCAAGUCGAACGGAAAGGCCCUGCUUUUGUGGGGUUCUCGAGUGGCGAACGGGUGAGUAACACGUGAGUAACCUGCCCUUGACUUUGGGAUAACUUCAGGAAACUGGGGCUAAUACCGGAUAGGAGCUCCUGCUGCAUGGUGGUGGUUGGAAAGUUUCGGCGGUUGGGGAUGGACUCGCGGCUUAUCAGCUUGUUGGUGGGGUAGUGGCUUACCAAGGCUUUGACGGGUAGCCGGCCUGAGAGGGUGACCGGCCACAUUGGGACUGAGGGACGGCCCAGAAUGCAACGGGAGGCAGCAGUGGGGAAUAUUGCACAAUGGGCGGAAGCCUGAUGCAGCAACGCCGCGUGCGGGAUGACGGCCUUCGGGUUGUAAACCGCUUUCGCCUGUGACGAAGCGUGAGUGACGGUAAUGGGUAAAGAAGCACCGGCUAACUACGUG